rnacentral:rRNA from 1 species
GGGGUACGGGCAGACUAGAGUGCGGUAGGGGUGACUGGAAUUCCUGGUGUAGCGGUGGAAUGCGCAGAUAUCAGGAGGAACACCGAUGGCGAAGGCAGGUCACUGGGCCGCAACUGACGCUGAGGAGCGAAAGCAUGGGGAGCGAACAGGAUUAGAUACCCUGGUAGUCCAUGCCGUAAACGUUGGGCACUAGGUGUGGGGCUCAUUCCACGAGUUCCGUGCCGCAGCAAACGCAUUAAGUGCCCCGCCUGGGGAGUACGGCCGCAAGGCUAAAACUCAAAGAAAUUGACGGGGGCCCGCACAAGCGGCGGAGCAUGCGGAUUAAUUCGAUGCAACGCGAAGAACCUUACCAAGGCUUGACAUACACCGGAAAAGUGCAGAGAUGUGCUCCCCGUAAGGUCGGUGUACAGGUGGUGCAUGGUUGUCGUCAGCUCGUGUCGUGAGAUGUUGGGUUAAGUCCCGCAACGAGCGCAACCCUCGUCCUAUGUUGCCAGCGGGUCAUGCCGGGGACUCAUAGGAGACUGCCGGGGUCAACUCGGAGGAAGGUGGGGAUGACGUCAAAUCAUCAUGCCCCUUAUGUCUUGGGCUUCACGCAUGCUACAAUGGCCGGUACAAAGGGCUGCGAUACCGCGAGGUGGAGCGAAUCCCAAAAAGCCGGUCUCAGUUCGGAUUGGGGUCUGCAACUCGACCCCAUGAAGUCGGAGUCGCUAGUAAUCGCAGAUCAGCAA